GCGGGAAUAGCUCAGAUGGUAGAGCACCACGUUGCCAACGUGGUGGUCGCGGGUUCGAGUCCCGUUUCCCGCUCCA
rnacentral:tRNA from 1 species